rnacentral:rRNA from 1 species
UACGGGGGGGGCAAGCGUUGUUCGGAAUUACUGGGCGUAAAGGCUCGUAGGCGGCCAACUAAGUCAUACGUGAAAUCCCUCGGCUUAACCGGGGAACUGCGUCUGAUACUGGAUGGCUUGAGUUCGGGAGAGGGAUGCGGAAUUCCAGGUGUAGCGGUGAAAUGCGUAGAUAUCUGGAGGAACACCGGUGGCGAAGGCGGCAUCCUGGACCGACAUUGACGCUGAGGAGCGAAAGCUAGGGGAGCAAACGGGG